rnacentral:rRNA from 1 species
GGCAGAGGCCCCGAGCGUUAGGCGGAAUCACUGGGCUUAAAGCGCGUGUAGGCGGGUCGUUAAGUGUCCGUGUGAAAUCCCACCGCUCAACGGUGGAACGGCCGGGCAUACUGGCGAUCUUGGGCCACGUAGGGGUUGCCGGAACAAGCGGUGGAGCGGUGAAAUGCGUAGAUAUCGCUUGGAACGCCGAAGGUGAAGACAGUCUGCUGGGGAUCUGCUGACGCUGAGACACGAAAGCCAGGGGAGCGAACGGG